GUCCACGCCAUAAACGAUGAGCACUAGGUGUCGCGGGUAUUGACCCCUGCGGUGCCGCCGCUAACGCAUUAAGUGCUCCGCCUGGGGACUACGGCCGCAAGGUUAAAACUCAAAGGAAUUGACGGGGGCCCGCACAAGCGGUGGAGCAUGUGGUUCAAUUCGACGCAACGCGAAGAACCUUACCUGGGCUAGACAACAUCAGACAGUCCUAGAGAUAGGAUCUUCCCUUCGGGGACUGGUGGUUCAGGUGCUGCAUGGCUGUCGU
rnacentral:rRNA from 1 species